CAGAUUACCUUAUUUGGAAAAUGUGCUCUGAAUCACAUUGAUAACAGGCGACUUUUGCCUUUCAUCUUAAGAGAGCACUCAGAGCAGUGCAAUAAAGGUUGAAUUACUUCCUAAUGAAUUUGCAGUAUAUAUCUAAACAGUAGUUUAGAUAGUUUCAAGUUAUAUAACUUGAAUUUCUAAAAAUAGGAUAUUCAACUACACUACUGAAAACAUUUUACUCCACUUCUAUUUUUUAAUGCCCUUAUUCUCAUAUCACUUUCCUUUCAAGUCUCAAAUCUCUAUCAGCGUAGAAGAAUGGGAAGACACUAAAGACACCAGGGACCAGGUUAAUUAUCGUAGUAAUCAUCGUAACUCAACAUCUAGCGAUCAGUCCGAUCACCCCUUGUUACGACGAAAAAGCAUGCAGUGGGCUCGACGGCUGAGCCGAAGAGUACCGAGACACUCUGGUAAAACAGCUGAGAGGAUAAGCCAGCAGCGAAUGAACCUCUACAGGAGGUCAGAAAGACAGGAACUUGCUGAACUUGUGAAAAACAGAAUGAAACAUCUGGGCCUUUCUCCAGCAGGAUAUGAUGAAAUGAAUGAUCAUCAGAACAACCUUUCUUACAUCCUGAUCAAUCCUUCUCCAGAUACAAGACUAGAGCUGAAUGAUAUAGUAUACUUGAUCCGACCUGAUCCAUUGGCUUACGUUCCAAACACAGCAUCCAGCCGAAAAGACAGCUUCUGCAAUACAGUGGGACAAGAUACCAGAGAGGAAACACAACUUUGAUAUGUAAUUCAACAAAAUUAACAAUUUUAUACAUAAAGUUUCCUCCAAUCAUUUUGAAAACUAAGCGGUACAUUUUAUUCAGUUUUUGGAAACAAAGUGACAGUGGGUAAGUCACUAAUUUUAGAAACAUGGUCUCUAGAAACUCUUACGAGUUUCCUAAUGAUUGUCAAGCUUGUAGCCUGUUCAACAUUGUAGUUGAACUUCAGUUUAGCAGAAAACUGUUAUGAUUUAACCAAUAUGAAGAAAUGAUUAAAGAAGCAAGAGAUUUCAAAAUGUUUCACUUAGAAGCUUCUAAGUAUAUCUAUCAAGGUGGCAGCAUGUCAAUGAAUAAGCUCCCGACAUACAUCAUAAAAGAUUAUCUGAUGUCCACCAAGGAAUCGUGUAUGUGUAGCAGAAAAUAAGUUAAUAUUUAAAGUUGCCAAAGAGGCUGUUUGUGCCAAGAAUACAACCUCUGAGAUAAUUUCCAAGCUUAAUUUGUCAUCCAUUUAUAUUUGAACAGCCUCUUUUCACUCCCAUUAUGGCCUCUAGGACUUGAAUGUUUGCUCUGUGAGUUUACAGAUGACACAGCUUAGUCAUGAUGUAGAAGGUUGACCUGAGGCACAUCGACUAAAAAAUUAGUUCAGAGAAUCCCAAUAUCUCACAGAGGCAUUUCAAAAAGGAAUAUUUCAUAGAGCAAGCGUUGCAGAACCUUUAAAGGAAUUAUAUAAAAGCAGCCCUUUACAUUUGCAAAAAUCUGGUAAGAAUAUGUGAAGCUACAAACAGUGGUAGCUCAGAUGAAAAAUGAAUAACAUGAGUUGUCAGUCACAGAAUGGCUUGGUUGAAAGGGAACUUAAUUAUCAAGUUCCAAUCUACCUGCCAUAAGGAGGGUUGCCAUCCACUAAAUCAAGUGGGUAGUAACAAGGCCCAAUGGACGAUGUUGAAUGCAAGUGUCUCUCUAGGGAGCAACUAAAACCACAGAUCCUUCCCACUCCCAUGGCGAUGCCAGAACUCCAACUGUUCAAACUACGAACAUACCCACUUCAUAUUACCCAAAUAUGAUACUUGUUCAUAUGAAAUUACAUAUCAUAACGAAAAUGAGAAAAGCUUAUAAUCUAUUCCACAAAAUGAAUGGAAUACAACAUUAAAUGGAUUUGAAGGCUUUGGCAUUAAAUACGCAAGAAAGCAUCUACAGUGUACGAAGCAUCUGAAGCUGCUACAGAAUCUCCAGUCUACAUAUACAAGAAUCCCAGAAGCUUUGGUCAAGAAUUUACAGAAGUAAACAUAGCUGUACACGAUCUUCAAAACAUUCUUGCUUUGCCAUCGAUCAUGAAAGGGGAAGAAGGUCCUUAAGGUUCAAACCAUCUUGCUACAACAAUCAAUAUAGGACUGUUACAAAAAAAUUGACGUGGACUGAAGUGGCCAAACUGAUAAUUCUUUGAAUUCCCUUGAUGUUCUCUGUGUACAGAGAAAUCCACUCUAAAAAUAUUUAUAUUCUCUUUUUAUUAUUUGGAAAAAAAGCUUAGCUGAUAUUGUUCUGAGAAAUAAAAUGCCAAGCUGCCUGAAGAACAAGCAAGUAUGCUUAUCAGUACUGCAAGAAUGUUAAAAAUCACAUCACACUCCUAUUAGAAAUAACACUAGGUCUGCUAUUAUUCCUUCUUUUCCUCUUAAUUCUUCCAAAACUAAACUGGAAGAAAUUAGAGGUCUUAGAGCAGACCAAAGUAAUCAGGAAGUCUACACACAAACACAAGAAUCUCAUUUUUAAGAGAAGAUAGAUGGAAAGAGAAGUUUCUCAGCUUUUUUCUUUUCAUAUUGACAUAUUCAAGUAGCAACAGGGUUCAGAAUAGUAUCUGUGAUUAUGAAUAGAGCCCAGUGUUUUUGCACACACACAAUUUAUCAAAUUAUUAAAUUCUGAAGACAAAGUAUUUUGAAUGUUUUCCCUGGGCACUUUGGGGAAAAGGGAUGUAACAAUUGAUACAAUUGCUCACACCAUCUCUUAGACAGAACCUUGUCCAGAUUGCAUCAUAGAAACUAUCACAUAGAAACAAUUGUGUUGUAAAAUGAAUAGCCUUCUAUUUUUAAUACCUUCAGUGAGAAGACUAUUCCAGUUGUAUAUUUCCAAGAAAGAGAACUGUUUUAAAAAUUUUCACUCCAAUAUAUUAGAACAAUUCUGUGUUUCAUACUGAAGGUCUUUCUAACGUAGCCUCAAGUAGGCAAACAAUUUCAGAAACAUGCCUAGUAAUCACAACCAGCAAGCUACUCCACUUUCAGUGGGAUACACAUAGCGUAUCCCAGAGUCAUUCAAUCCAGACUAUCAACAGUACAUUGGCUGAAGUAAACGCAACAGAUUUAAAGACUCUCUGCCACAAGAAUAGUUAGGGCUCCAUGCCUGGCAUUUAUCACCCUAUAAACAAGUAGAAAUAAGUAGUCGGAUAUAUCCAUUUUUCUACCUAACUCAGUGGAACAGUAGCAUCUAUUGUCACUUGAUAUUUCCUAGAUGGAUUUUUAAUUGCUCAUUAGCCCUAGAAGAUUUGUUAAAGUAAACAAAAACAGGUGGAGACAAGUUGCAGCGCAUCUAAAAUAAAGCAAAGAUAAUCUUUCUGAAUAUAAAUGCUUGGUUCUCUUCAAACUGUACUGGAAGACGAGCAAGAUAAAAGCUAGCAGCUUCUUUUGAGGCAAUUCUAAUAAUACAUUGAUGAUGCACUGCUCUAUUCCGUAAUAGAUGUGCCAUCUUUCAUGCUGGAAGCAGAACAGCUUUGCUUCCCCAAGCACAUCUUCAGACCCCAUUCUAGUGGAUUUUAGCCUUUCAAGAACUAUACUGAGUACUCUACGUUAACACUGAAUGAGAUAGCACACACAUUCCUUGGUGGCCAGGCAGGCAGUUCUUUGAGAAUCACUUUACAGGCAAUCUUGCCUUCACAUGCUUCUUGCUAAGAUUAUCAGCAAUAUAGUACAGCCGGAUUGGAGAUCAGGUUGAGAAACAGUAAUAUCCAUGCUCAGUGCUAGAGGAGGGAUGACAAAGCUUUAGAGCCAUUGGGUCCAGAAGACUUGAACAGAGUUGUAUCUGAUGACAAUUCACUCAGUGAAUACAUAGAUUGGACUUACGAUCAUUUACAAAAGCAAGUGAUUAAAUUCUAAAACUGUCAGAAACCAGAUGGCCAAAUAACAUUUCCCCCUCCCCUCCUCAAUCAAAGAAAACAGCAGAUUUCAGUCUGUAUUUAACUGUAUGUACUUUUUUCUUCUCUUUGUAACUCAUACUUAACAGUAAAUCAGACAUGCUCUCUUUACCUAACACUUCCUUAAAACAACUACCAGGAAAUUUGGAAGUCAAAAUCCCGGGAAAAGUGAUAGCACAUAACUACUACCUUAUCAGAAGUGUUUUCUCCAAGGGGAUGAAACAUGUUAUUUAUUCUACAAUAAAAAGUCACAAUAAGCAUUACAGUGGAAUACAUUGUGUUUCCUUUACUGUUUUACUCCAGUUCCAGAACACACACUAACACAACUUGAGUUUGCAAAAUUUGCAGUAGUGUAAGUUAAUGAAAUUUUCAUUUUAAUUUCCAAGUCAAAGUGUUAUAACAGUUCCCUCACGCACAACUUCCUACUUUUGUAGGAAAUCAUAUACUUCAAAGUAUUUAAGUUACUGAAGACUUGUUAUAUGUCUGUUUACUACUGCAUCAAUAAAAUGCAAAAUAAAUACUUUUUGGGUUUCUGCUUUGGAGGAAAAUUGAAGUAACAGCAAAUGCACCAAAAAUAACGCAUAAUUCCGUAGCUUCUAGGCAGUAAGAGCUGAAAACAAGCAUUUUGUAAAUUUGAAGCACUGAUGUAUGAGGCUUUGAUGCACUGAAUUCUACUUGGUAUCUGAAGGAAAUCAGUCAUUACAAUCCCAAAAUGAAUUAAUAAAAACAAGUAGUACUACGUAAUAACAUCAAGUACACAAGAUUAUUUAGAAAUCUAUUUUUGAGCUAGAGGCAUAAAUGCAGAAAUCUGCUUAAAAUAUUACGUAUAUUCUCCAUAUGAUGCAGUAGAAAACAGACAUACAUUGAAUAUAUGUCUAAAGGACUCACUUUAACUUUUUGACCGCUAUUUCAUUUGCUUGAUGCAGAACAUACGUUGAAGGGAGAGCAGAGAAGUAAUUAACACUUUGAAAGAUGACUAAGACCUUGCUUAUCAUCUUUAGAGGUUACCAAAAAUAUUAAAGAACUACACAAGAAAAUCAUCAUUAUUGCCUGUACUAGUGAUGCAAUGAUGCUGUCAAGCAAUGGAAGUUUUACACAAGUAUGAACUGCCAUAGACUAAAGAAGCUUAAAGAGGAAAAUAUUUCUGCUUCACAAAGUAAAAAACCAGAAUUUGAAGUUUCUACAAACUAGCUUUCAAUAUAUUAUGUAAAAUUUGGAUACUUGCUAGCACGAUAAAGUAGAAUAAGUUUCUCUAAACUUUUUUCUCCUCAGAUAAAAAAAAAUAGAGCGAGGAAUAUUUAUUUUCACUCCCUUCUCUCCCUUAGAGGCCGACUCAACAACUGUCAGAUAUUCAUUGGAGAAACAUAAAGCAAUUGCUAUUCUCUUUGUCAAAAAGAAAAGCUGACUUUGUCCUAAGCUACUCUUCCUUAACUAGCUAUCAAAAAAAAAGAAAAAAUAAAAUAAAAUCUUUUGAAAGGAAUAAGGAUGUAUCCUGAAGAGAGUCUUGUCUACCCAGAAAUUUUGUCACCACUUAGGCGAACUCCACACACGCAAAGCAACAUAACCUGAGGCCUUCCGUGCAAUAAGAAUGCUAUCUUCUUUAAAAUAAGGCACUGUUUAAUGCAUUUUCUCAACAAGAUAAUCGAGGAAUUGUUAAUUGUAUAGUAUCUAUGUCCGCUUGUUCAAUUUUCAGACUCCCAUUAGCUACAGAAUGCUCAAGGACAUGAACUCGAGUAUUUUGAAUAUCAGCUAUCAAUGAACAAAGAAUGUAAAUUACAGCAAAACUCUCAGCAAGCAGGAUAAAGUAGGGGACAGAGUGGAGAUGUGCCAGUCCUCAGAAAGCCCCAGUAAAACUUAGAUGAUCUAAGAUCUAAGAAACUACCAUAACCACAAACUAAGACAAGAAACGCAAAAAGAUCUUUGAUUUUUAUAGGUACCUAUAUAAAUAUUAGAGAAUGUAGACGUUAAUCCCAAAGCAAGAUACUUAGUAACAGAAAUACAGUAGAAUAUGGAAUUGAUUUUAGCCACGCUUGUUAUUUCACUACUUCAAGUACAGCCAUAGUUUCCAUCCACAUCCAUACACAUAAGAAUCAGCAAUUAUAUUAUUGAUCCAACUGGUUUGCAUAGAUUGAAGUUCAUUUAUUAUUUUAAUUAAGUUCAUUUCAUAGUUUUAAUAUACAUACUUUAAAUCACAACUGUGAUUAAAGUAAUCUACUACAACUCUCAGUGCUAUAAUUGCUACCUCCUACAUCUCUAGGUACAUUUGAAGCUCACUGUCCUGUUUUGGGACAGCAAAGCAGGAAGGAUAUCUUGAGCAUUUUUUAGCACUUUUUUCGUACUCUUUUUUUUCCCAAAUUAGGUGGGAAAUCCACUGCCAAUGAAAAUACAUUUUUCUAGAAAAGCAACUGAACCAUGAGAUGCUUUAUUGCAACAAUUUUUCCCCAGAGCCAAUGUUAAUUACUCAGUUAUUGGACAGACUGCUGUUCUCUAGAUAGAUGCUUUAAUCAAGAACACAUAUUGCUUAUUCUUCAGUAUUUGUACUAGUCUGCCUUUGAAGCAUUCAAACAAAUCAUUAUUAAAACUUCAUUUCAGCAAAAAACAAAACUUAGUAAGAACAAUCUGGAGAGAUAGCCUUGUUAUUAAGUGGAGGCAAAAUUAAUGCAUUCCUCUUAGGUGUUCUAAGUCCUGGGAUGUAAUAGACGCAGAAAAUGAGCUCCACUCUGAGCCAAUCACUUUUACAAAAUUACAUGAGCCUAAAGCAUCAACUAGACUACUAGGAAGUAGAAAUUCUCAUUGCCAAAAUAAAAAAGAGUAGUUAAGUCCGGUCUUUCUUCUAGAUUAACAAGCACAGAGAUUGCUAAGUUUUUCUAAUUCGUACCUGAAUCUUGAAGGAAAGUAGAAGAGAGCUAUCAUCUCUCAAAUGCAUUUAGACUAAGAAAAAAAACAACAGAUUCACCAGAAGAGCCAGUUGUAGAACAUUAGUCCUUCAGAAGAAAAUCUUAGGGUGUACACACGACCAAGACAUCACUUUCCAACACAAGAGAAUUUCCACAGAUGCAUUUUGAAUGCUCACAAAUGAUUUUGGCCUUGUCUCAUUCACAGCCCCUUCCUCCAAGGACAAGCUGUAGCUUUCUAAAGCAAAAGACAUCCAGAAUCCAGAGCAUUUGCAACUAGUUCCAGUCAAGCUCCGGAGUUAAAUACUUAUGUAGCCCUCCAAUUCAUCUCAGGUGUUAAGAAUUUCCACUAAUAAGCUACAUGAAUUACUGUGCAAAUUAUCUAGCUAAUGCAGCUCAGCUGUAUCAUGUGCAGAGAAGCUUCACAGCCCAGUAGACAAACACAAGAUAAAAAUAUGAGCAAUUUCCUCUGGCUUUUUUUUUUUUAAUUUAGCGGACGCAAUGGGAAACAAAGGGAGAUGUUGAUAACUUUUGCUGUAACAAAGCCUAUUUCUUUAACAAAAUUCCUUUAGUCACUAUAAGAGUUUUAUUACCAACUUCAACAAGAAAAAAAACAUCUACACGCAGGUAUAAAUGACAGCUAGACAUAUACAGACACUUAGUUUACCAGCCCAUCCUUUAUAGACUUGGACUUCUUGAACAUUUAUGAACAACAAUACUUAAAUCCAAAUUUGAGAAUUAUGUAACUCACCACCGCCCACCCUAAGAUCAUUUCAUCAUCGCCAACUGAAGAGCUACUGUCAGCACUGCCUCCGUCACAUAGUAGAAGCAAAAAAAAAAAAAACACGCUUUCAGGAAAUGGUGAAUUUACAAAAAAUAGAGACCUCAAUACUACUGAACACUACUCAGACAUAAUAAGCUAACUAUAAGCUUCUUACUUAAAAGAAUCCAAUGAACAAAACUUUCAAAUAUUCCACAGUACUUUGAGGUAUUCAAUAAUCUUGAUGCUUGCUAUGCUUUCGCUAUGCACUCAGUGCUUAUGGCAUAUGAAGCACUACUCUGUACCAAACAACUUCAGUUUUCAGGCUAACCUCUUCAAAUAAUUUAUUAAUAUGCCUAGAAGGGAGAGGAAUGCAUUUCAGUUUAAGAACAGCUAAAAUAAUGAGUUCUCUCUGGGCAUCUUAAAAAGCUAUGCAACUGUUUGGAAAACAAUCCUGAUUACAACUGCAAAUCAAUAUAAUAUCUGAGCCAACAAAUUACAUUUUAAAUUGGAUUGCACUGGUAAUUUUUCUUCUAGGUUACACACAUCCAUUAUAAAAAACUGCAGUGACUAGAAAAUGGUGGAAUGGAAUAUUUCUAUACAAGGCACUACACAAGCAAUUGCUCUGAAACAGAAAAAACUUAGCCUAAAAUAUGAUAGCCUCCUCCAAUACCUUCUGAAGUACAGAAGUCCCUCAAAUAAAGAUCAGGAGACCAAGUCAAAAAGAAAAUCCCAUUAGUUCAGUACUAAUAAGCAGAAGUGUAAACAACAAGCCAGCAACUAUAAAGACAAUUAAAAAAUCUGGUUACUGAUUAGCUUUUUCAGAGAUAGUUUUAAGUUAUUUUAUGAAUGCAAAACUUCUUAUAUUUUUACAAGCCAAUAUCAGAAUUAGAAAAUAAUCUUACAUUUGUAUUUCCUGAGACUAGUCUUACCUGAGAGCAGGAAUCUGAUGCAGAAAACAGAAGUUACUUUGCCAACAUCCUUGCAACUGCAACAGUGAGAAUAUUUCUGAAAUAACUAAGAAUUUCUCAUAAAAAGAUGGUUUCAAAAGAGAAAGAAUUAUGUAGCUCAAACCUCCCCCACAGCUGUCUCCUAGGCCAGCAACUCCAGUGCAGCCAGAGAAACCUAGUAACACCCCCCAGCCUCCAACAAGCUGACCUGAGCCAGGUCUAAUUUGCACCACUCCAAAACACUGAUGCCAUUUCUAAAACAACAAAGUUCUAGCACGUAAACUAAAAGAGGCAGAAAGCCUUAUUCCAUUUCCUAGCAGCAUGAUGCUAUCUCAGACAGUUUCCUAAGCCAUUCCAUUAGCAUUUUGAAAGUUUCCCCGCAUUUGUAGAUACUUUCACCAUAUAAAAUUUACCCUUUCAGAGUUCCUGCCAUAGAAGCCCAGACUCAUUAUCUUCCUCCUAGUCCUGUAAAUGUGUUCACUUCCAACAAACUCCCAUUUACUUAAAACUUCUCCCCAAUACUCCACCCCUACUCUCCUCCCUGCCUAUAACAUAUAGCUUUCUUGUAAUUCCCCAAUCAAUAGAACCACCUGUGCCUGCAGCCAGCCUUAAGAAUCAGCAUCAUGAUUUAAAUAAGAGCGUAUUUAUUUCACCUACAGAUUAGAAUCUAAAUGUUUCUCACAAGUUCAACACUAAAAAUAUGAAUUUGAAGAGCUUUUGUACCAUGACUAGCACAAAAUCAAAUCUCACUUUUUAAGGAAUCGGUUGUUCUGGGAACAGAUAAAAGUUAUGAAAUAGUUUAGGAAAAGUGUGUUACAGAAAGAAAGCAAUAUUUAAUAGCAUGUUCUCCACAGAGAGAUGUGCCAGACGCAUAUCUCUAUUUGUUAGUGCGUGCGUUAUUCUAAUUGUGCAGUCAUAACACACAUCAAUUUGACACACUCAGUAAACUUUGCCAAAUAAACAUUCUUUUUUGACUUAAUUGGAAAAUUUGCAUCAGCAAGUUUUUGGAGCUCUGUUACAGCAUCCUGAAUCAAGUCCCUUCUCAUGAAGAAUUAUUAUCGCUCUAAUGUCUUGGUUCUCAUCCAAAUGCUACUGCAAUUAAUCAGAACCUCAACAAGCUUUAGGUAGGUUUCUAUAAUCAUAUCGAGUCAUACAGUCACAGAAUCACAGGAUCAUGCUGUUUGGACAAAGCUCAGAAAGUCUGCAUAAACAUCACCUGCUCAAAGCAGGGCCAGCGAUGUUCCCAGACCAGGUUCCUGAGCAAUUUGUCUGGCCUGAUCCUGAACAAUUCCAGUGAUAGAGGCUGGACACCUUCCACGGGCAACCAGCUCUACUGCUUGCCUGUCCUCACAGGGAAAAGGUUGCUCUAUACAUCACCUUAGCCUCUCUUAUUUUACUCUGUGCCCUGUCUCAUCCUCCCACCAGAAACCACUGGGCAGAGCCUGGCUUUACCGUCUUGAUCGCCUUCCUGUAGUUGUUUCCAGGAGCUGCUGUUAGGUGCCCCCAAAGCUGCCUCUUCUUUAGCUUGAAAAGCUCAGUUCUCUCAGCUUCUUCUCACAAGGCCUGUGACUCAGCCUCAUGUUGUAUAGGAAUUGUUUAUGGUUCAUAACUUCAAAUUUGUUUUGAAAGGGAUGAAGGUAAUUGUCAGUUCCUCCAUGGUGGAAAUGGUAUCACAAAACACGGAGAGUGGAAAAGACUUUUCCUCACGUACAUGCUGAUGUGAAUAAAGUUGUACAAACAUUUACCAUUUUGUAAAAGAGUUUGAAGAGUUUGUUAUUUUUUACUUUUCCUUGGGUCUGUAUGAUAUAUUUUGCUGCAUAUAGCAACAUACUUUUUGUCUUAUACUAAAAAUCCAUCAAUAAAGAGAUUACUUCAUUUA